AGAAUCAACGCUGGCGGCGUGCCUAACACAUGCAAGUCGCACGAGAAAGGGACUUCGGUCCUGAGUACAGUGGCGCACGGGUGAGUAACACGUGAAUAAUCUACCUCCGAGUGGGGAAUAACUGAGAGAAAUCUUAGCUAAUACCGCAUAACACUUACGAGUCAAAGCAGCAAUGCGCUUGGAGAGGAGUUCGCGGCAGAUUAGUUAGUUGGCGGGGUAAUGGCCCACCAAGACGAUGAUCUGUAUCCGGCCUGAGAGGGCGCACGGACACACUGGAACUGAAACACGGUCCAGACUCCUACGGGAGGCAGCAGUGGGGAAUUUUGCGCAAUGGGGGAAACCCUGACGCAGCAACGCCGCGUGGAGGAUGAAAUAUCUUGGUAUGUAAACUCCUUUCGAUGGGGAAGAUAAUGACGGUACCCAUAGAAGAAGCCCGGCUAACUUCGUGCCAGCAGCCGC
rnacentral:rRNA from 1 species